CAUCGAUGGGACCACAGCACCCACAAAAAUUCAGUUAUCGCAUUAAGAUUUUUGUUUUUCCAUUCGGAGAGUGUGAGAGAUUUGAUAAAAUAGUGGAAGUCUUUUUUUGCAUCUAAAAGUCUUUAAAGCAAAUUAUAAAAUAAGUACAAACAUCUAACUAGAAUCUUUGUUCUCUACUGUUCAUUGUGUCAGCUUCCAACUCUCUAACUC
rnacentral:lncRNA from 1 species